UCCGGUUUGGCACCGGCAGUCCCCCUAGAGUGCCCGGCAUUACCCGCUGGUAACUAGGGGCGGGGGUUGCGCUCGUUGCGGGACUUAACCCAACAUCUCACGACACGAGCUGUCGACAGCCAUGCAGCACCUGUGCUGGUGUCCCGAAGGAGGGCCGGUGUUUCCACCGGCUUUCACCAGCAUGUCAAGCCUAGGUAAGGUUCUUCGCGUUGCGUCGAAUUAAACCACAUGCUCCACCGCUUGUGCGGGCCCCCGUCAAUUCCUUUGAGUUUCAGCCUUGCGGCCGUACUCCUCAGGCGGGGCACUUAAUGCGUUAGCGCCGGCACCCGGGGGGUCGCUCCCCCAAGCACCUAGUGCCCAUCGUUUACAGCGUGGACUAC
rnacentral:misc_RNA from 1 species